rnacentral:rRNA from 1 species
GUGGGGAAUAUUGCGCAAUGGGGGAAACCCUGACGCAGCGACGUCGUGUGAGUGAUGAAGGCUUUCGGGUCGUAAAACUCUGUCAGACGGGAAGAAUAAGAAUAGGGAAAAUAUUUCUAUUCGAUGACGGUACCGUCAGAGGAAGCACCGGCUAACUCCGUGCCAGCAGCCGCGGUAAUACGGAGGGUGCGAGCGUUAUUCGGAAUUACUGGGCGUAAAGCGCGUGUAGGCGGAAAUGUAGGUCAGAUGUGAAAUCCCUUGGCUUAACUGAGGAAUUGCAUCUGAAACCGUAUUCCUUGAGUACGACAGAGGAGAGUGGAAUUCCCAGUGUAGAGGUGAAAUUCAUAGAUAUUGGGAAGAACACCAGUGGCGAAGGCGGCUCUCUGGGUCGAUACUGACGCUGAUACGCGAAAGCGUGGGUAGCAAACAGGAUUAGAAACCCGAGUAGUCC